rnacentral:tRNA from 1 species
GCUCGCGUAGCUUAAUAUUAAAGCAUAGCACUGAAGAUGCUAAGAUGAAUUUUAAAAGAUUCCGCAUGCAC